GCCUUCGUGGAUCGUGGUGAUCGCCCCGGCCCAUUGAGGGCGUCUCUCAGGCUAUUGUGACGACGAGGAGGAAGGGGUUCGAUUCCCCUCGGAGGCA